CAUCAAUGUAAGAAGUUGUUUUGAUUGGAGAUGGAUAAUUCAGAAGAAGCAACAGGGCAAAGCGACUAUGGGUGAUUCAUAAUCUUAUCCUACUGUUGAGCUUAAGGACAAGCUCUUUCUCCAGGAAGGGGGUGAUGUUAUGGAUGCAUAUUUGUGGGCAAAACUUGUGCAAUAAGUGAUCCACGAGAUUCCAAUCAAUGGCGAUAAAAUGGCAAU
rnacentral:misc_RNA from 1 species